rnacentral:rRNA from 1 species
AACGCGAAGAACCUUACCUGGGCUCGAAGCGCAGUGGAAUCCGGUGGAAACAUCGGCGCCCGCAAGGGCCGCUGCGGAGGUGCUGCAUGGCUGUCGUCAGCUCGUGUCGUGAGAUGUUGGGUUAAGUCCCGCAACGAGCGCAACCCUUAUCGUUAGUUGCCAGCGGGUUAUGCCGGGCACUCUAGCGAAACCGCCUCGGAUAACGGGGAGGAAGGUGGGGAUGACGUCAAGUCCUCAUGGCCUUUAUGUCCAGGGCUACACACGUGCUACAAUGGUCGGUACAAACCGUCGCAAACUCGCGAGAGGGAGCUAAUCGGAGAAAGCCGACCUCAGUUCGGAUUGGAGUCUGCAACUCGACUCCAUGAAGCUGGAAUCGCUAGUAAUCGCGGAUCAGCACGCCGCGGUGAAUACGUUCCCGGGCCUUGUACACACCGGCUAC